AAUGAAAGGAAAGUAGUCCAAUCCAUAAAUCUAUCAUAAAUGGAUUCUAACUUGUAGUUUUGUUAGCUGGAUGGCCCUUGAGUUUAACAAUCUCAAUCAAAUAUGAGAUCCAAGAGGGUUAUUUGCCCAUAUGUUGAUCUGCAAGGAGUUACUUUCAACUAUGUCUUAGAGUACCGCUCUUUGGUAAUAGAGCUCAAAGCUUGUGGUGAUAUUCAUAAAAGACUUAUCAUUGGUGAGAGACCUUUAGCGUACAAGUACCGUGAGGGAAAGAUGAAAAGAACUUUGGAGAGGGAGUUAAACAGUAUGCGAACAUGUUGGUAGAAAGCGGAUUACUUUAAUGAACAUUUCUUUGAGACAAUAAUAUAUAAUUCAUACACUAAUUUUAGUUUAUAAAUUAUAACUUCAGCUACUCAAAGUUAGGUUUUUAUGCUUUUAUUUAUGCUGAUCCGACCCGUCUGGAAACACGGACCAAGGAGUCUAGUAUUGGUGCAAGUAUUUGAAAAAUUAAAAUUCCUUCACACAGGUAACUUAGAUCGUGUGCAUCGUGUCAUGAUGAUAGUAUCGCGGGCAGUGUUUUUACCUAGCAAGAGCAUGUAU
rnacentral:rRNA from 1 species